AGAGGUCCUUCAGGAGAGCAUCCAGCUCCUGCUCGUCGAUAUAGCCGUUUCCAUCCUUGAAGGCGGAAAACAACACCCAUUGAGCUUUAAAAUCCACCGGAGGCAUAUUAUACACAAUGAAACAACUGUUGCAACCAAAUCAUUCAGUCCAAUUUAUGAAUGAAUCAUUCAGUAAAUCAUUUCUA